rnacentral:rRNA from 1 species
UACGGGGGGGGUAAGCGUUGUUCGGAAUUACUGGGCGUAAAGGGCUCGUAGGCGCCAACUAAGUCAGACGUGAAAUCCCUCAGCUUAACUGGGGAACUGCGUCUGAUACUGGAUGGCUUGGAUUCGGGAGAGGAAUGCGGAAUUCCUGGUGUAGCGGUGGAAUGCGCAGAUAUCAGGAGGAACACCGGUGGCGAAGGCGGGUCUCUGGGCAGUAACUGACGCUGAGGAGCGAAAGCGUGGGGAGCAAACAGG